GAUGAGCCAAGAUUGGCACCCUUUAAGGUGCUAGCAAGUAUUAAACUGAAGAGUUUGAUCAUGGCUCAGAUUGAACGCUGGCGGCAGGCUUAACACAUGCAAGUCGAGCGGAGAGAUGUAGCUUGCUACUGAUCUUAGCGGCGGACGGGUGAGUAAUGCUUAGGAAUCUGCCUAUUAGUGGGGGACAACAUUCCGAAAGGAAUGCUAAUACCGCAUACGCCCUACGGGGGAAAGCAGGGGAUCAUUAGACCUUGCGCUAAUAGAUGAGCCUAAGUCGGAUUAGCUAGUUGGUGGGGUAAAGGCCUACCAAGGCGACGAUCUGUAGCGGGUCUGAGAGGAUGAUCCGCCACACUGGGACUGAGACACGGCCCAGACUCCUACGGGAGGCAGCAGUGGGGAAUAUUGGACAAUGGGGGGAACCCUGAUCCAGCCAUGCCGCGUGUGUGAAGAAGGCCUUUUGGUUGUAAAGCACUUUAAGCGAGGAGGAGGCUACUCUGGUUAAUACCCAGGGAUAGUGGACGUUACUCGCAGAAUAAGCACCGGCUAACUCUGUGCCAGCAGCCGCGGUAAUACAGAGGGUGCGAGCGUUAAUCGGAUUUACUGGGCGUAAAGCGUACGUAGGCGGCUUUUUAAGUCGGAUGUGAAAUCCCUGAGCUUAACUUAGGAAUUGCAUUCGAUACUGGGAAGCUAGAGUAUGGGAGAGGAUGGUAGAAUUCCAGGUGUAGCGGUGAAAUGCGUAGAGAUCUGGAGGAAUACCGAUGGCGAAGGCAGCCAUCUGGCCUAAUACUGACGCUGAGGUACGAAAGCAUGGGGAGCAAACAGGAUUAGAUACCCUGGUAGUCCAUGCCGUAAACGAUGUCUACUAGCCGUUGGGGCCUUUGAGGCUUUAGUGGCGCAGCUAACGCGAUAAGUAGACCGCCUGGGGAGUACGGUCGCAAGACUAAAACUCAAAUGAAUUGACGGGGGCCCGCACAAGCGGUGGAGCAUGUGGUUUAAUUCGAUGCAACGCGAAGAACCUUACCUGGUCUUGACAUAGUAAGAACUUUCCAGAGAUGGAUUGGUGCCUUCGGGAACUUACAUACAGGUGCUGCAUGGCUGUCGUCAGCUCGUGUCGUGAGAUGUUGGGUUAAGUCCCGCAACGAGCGCAACCCUUUUCCUUAUUUGCCAGCACUUCGGGUGGGAACUUUAAGGAUACUGCCAGUGACAAACUGGAGGAAGGCGGGGACGACGUCAAGUCAUCAUGGCCCUUACGACCAGGGCUACACACGUGCUACAAUGGUCGGUACAAAGGGUUGCUACCUAGCGAUAGGAUGCUAAUCUCAAAAAGCCGAUCGUAGUCCGGAUUGGAGUCUGCAACUCGACUCCAUGAAGUCGGAAUCGCUAGUAAUCGCGGAUCAGAAUGCCGCGGUGAAUACGUUCCCGGGCCUUGUACACACCGCCCGUCACACCAUGGGAGUUUGUUGCACCAGAAGUAGGUAGUCUAACCGUAAGGAGGACGCUUACCACGGUGUGGCCGACGACUGGGGUGAAGUCGUAACAAGGUAGCCGUAGGGGAACCUGCGGCUGGAUCACCUCCUUAA
rnacentral:rRNA from 1 species